GCCCUGGCACCCUGCGCUGCUCGGGGCUCUGCGGGAGGCUUACGAAGAGCUGAACGCAGGCUCGGCGAGCUAGUUUUAGGGCUUCUCUUCAGCCUGAGCUGGGGAAAGGAGACAGGGGCGUUAGGAAGCACAGUUAUUUUCACCUUUAGAACCUACAUUUCCUACUUGAGAAAAAUAUUCCUGGUGAAAAUUCCAGAAGAUUGAAGAAUUAAAUCUCGACCAAUGAAAGUCUAGAACUUUGUGUGGAUCCCAAGAAGACACGGG